rnacentral:rRNA from 1 species
UGGGGAAUAUUGGACAAUGGGCGAAAGCCUGAUCCAGCCAUGCCGCGUGUGUGAAGAAGGUCUUCGGAUUGUAAAGCACUUUAAGUUGGGAGGAAGGGCAGUAAGCGAAUACCUUGCUGUUUUGACGUUACCGACAGAAUAAGCACCGGCUAACUCUGUGCCAGCAGCCGCGGUAAUACAGAGGGUGCAAGCGUUAAUCGGAAUUACUGGGCGUAAAGCGCGCGUAGGUGGUUCGUUAAGUUGAAUGUGAAAGCCCCGGGCUCAACCUGCGAACUGCAUCCAAAACUGGCGAGCUAGAGUAGGGCAGAGGGUGGUGGAAUUUCCUGUGUAGCGGUGAAAUGCGUAGAUAUAGGAAGGAACACCAGUGGCGAAGUCGACCACCUGGGCUCAUACUGACACUGAGGUGCGAAAGCGUGGGGAGCAAACAGG